rnacentral:lncRNA from 8 species
AUGGUGGAAGUUCUAGGUCUACUGCUGCAUUGGCCUAUAGGCUAUCUCAGCCAGUGGAUCACAGUGUAUCUGUGUGGAUCAGUGUGGAUCACAGUGUGGAUCCCAGUGUAUCGGUGUGGAUCACAGGGUAUCAGUGUGGAUCAGUGUGGAUCAGUGUGGAUCCCAGGGUAUCAGUGUGGAUCCCAGGGUAUCAGUGUGGAUCACAGGGUAUCAGUGUGGAUCACAAUGUAUCAGUGUGGAUCAGAAUGUAUCAGUGUGGAUCAGUGUGGAUCAGUGUGGAUCCCAGUGGAUCCCAGUGGAUCAGUGUGGAUCCCAGUGGAUCAGUGUAGAUCCCAGUGGAUCACAGUGUGGAUCACAGUGUGGAUCACAGUGUGGAUCACAGUGUGGAUCACAGGGUAUCAGUGUGGAUCACAGUGUAUCAGUGUGGAUCACAGUGUAUCAGUGUGGAUCCCUGGGUAUCAGUGUGGAUCCCAGGGUAUCAGUGUGGAUCCCAGGGUAUCAAUGUGGACCCCAGGGUAUCAGUGUGGACCCCAGGGUAUCAGUGUGGACCCCAGGGUAUCAGUGUGGACCCCAGUGUAUCAGUGUGGACCCCAGUGUAUCAGUGUGGACCCCAGUGUAUCAGUGUGGACCACAGGGUAUCAGUGUGGAUCACAGUGGAUCCCAGUGUGGAUCACAGUGGAUCCCAGUGUAUCAGUGUGGAUCCCAGUGUAUUACAGUGUGGAUCAGUGUGGAUCACAGGGUAUCAGUGUGGAUCACUGUGGAUCACAGGGUAUCAGUGUGGAUCACUGUGUGGAUCACUGUGGAUCACAGGGUAUCAGUGUGGAUCACAGUGGAUCCCAGUGUAUCAGUGUGGAUCCCAGUGUAUCAGUGUGGAUCCCAGUGUAUCAGUGUGGAUUACAGUGUGGAACACAGGGUAUCAGUGUGGAUCACUGUGGAUCACAGGGUAUCAGUGUGGAUCACUGUGUGGAUCACUGUGGAUCACAGGGUAUCAGUGUGGAUCACUGUGUGGAUCACUGUGGAUCACAGGGUAUCAGUGUGGAUCAC